rnacentral:rRNA from 1 species
AUGAACAUUGCCCUCCUGACCCGUUGGCUCUGGCACAUUGCCAAUGGAGAUUGAGGUCUCUGGCUUACUAUAAUCCAGAACAAGUACCUGCAUGGACAGCCUCUCGCAUUUUGUCAGCGCUCAGGCGGCUCCCAGUUUUGGCAAGCCGUCGUCCAGCUGCUGCCUGUUUUGCGCAUUGGCACAUCCAUCUCGGUGGGUACUGGGUCCUCGACCCUGUUCUGGCUUGAUAGGUGGCUUGGCGACACCCCCUAG